rnacentral:lncRNA from 1 species
GCUGUAUAUACUUUUUUAAUGGAUAAAAAGUAAACAAUUUUUUUUACCUGGAAUUCUAAAUGGUCAAACGUUUUGCAUUUUACCAUGUAAUCCAUUUGUUUUCAAGCUUCCCAACUUUACCCAGGAACAGAUCUGAUCCAAAAUAAUUAUUUGAUUUCUCAUACGUUCUUCUUCUUCAAACAGCUAUAAUAAUUUCAAAGUGAACAAUAAAAAAUAUUUGUGCUAUUCUUUUACUUUGCUUUUGCAUAAUGAGUUUCAUAUGAAUAUGUUGCAUACCACCACGUAUACCUGUAAAUUCAAGAAGUUAUGCAACAAAAUCCUUAAGGUUCGACGAAUCUCUCCAAAAUCAUCAAGCUCUAUUCGACGCACUUUCAAACUGGACCGCCACAAUCAAAUUGAUGCUUCGAAAGUGGUUCCAAAACUACUGUUGUGCUUUCAAG